rnacentral:lncRNA from 1 species
GCUUGCCGUGAGACUCCUUGGUGAACUUGUGGUUCUCAAGGAUGUGGUAGAGGUCGCGGAAGUUGCCCGUGUGGAAGGCGACCACGGCGCGCGCGCGCAGGAUCGACUCGUGUUUGUUGAUGGCCUCGCACGCCCCGGGGGCCACGGGCAGCGACCAGAGGAAGCGGCCCAGCCGCUCGAUGUCGCCCGUCUCCUCCAGCGUCUCACAGACGCUGGCCACCUGCUCCGGCGAGAAGUUGAGGGUGGGCAGCUGGAACAUGGACAACUCUUCCGGGGGGGCCCUGGAGCCGCCGCCGCCGCCGCCGCCUGCUCCGCCAGCACCGCCGCCUCCCGCACCGUUCCCGCCGCCGCUGCCGCCUCCCGCGCCGCCGCCGCCUCCCGCACCGUUCCCGCCGCCGCUACUCGCCAGAAGUAUGGAGCGGUGGUGAGAAUCGGCGAAGUUUGGCAACAAGAAGUGGGAGGAAUAGAGGUCUAGGGGGGAGCGGAAUACCAUGGACUGACCUGAGAGGAGAGGAGAAAAUUCAGGGAGAGGAAGAGAGAGGGGAGGAAGAGGAGGAGAGGGGCGAUGAGGACCAGGAGGAGGGAGAGGAGAGGGGGGAGGAGGAGAAGGAAAGGAGGGGGGAGCAGGAGGAGGAGGGAGAGGAGGAAGGGCGUAAGGGACACCCACACCCCACACAC